AAAUCUGGAAAGAGACCAUUUGAUUGGUUCGCCGAAGGAGUAAGCAUUUUAAGUUUUGAUGUGAAUCUCUCAGGCAAGAAGGACAGAGAG
rnacentral:ncRNA from 1 species